rnacentral:tRNA from 1 species
ACUCACUUAGCUCAGUUGGUAGAGUGUCGUCUUUACACGGCGAAUGUCGUUGGUUCGAUCCCAACAGUGAGUA